UUGCAAGUACGCUCUAUCGCUGCCCGUAAGGGGAGAGGAAAGUCCGAGCAACGCAGAGCGCCGCACGAGUUAACGGCUCGAUGUCCGUAAGGGUGUAGUAGCGUAACAGAGAAUAACCGCCCGAGGGGCCGAGGUAAGAGUGGGAGUCAAUGGUUUCUGCUUUUGUUGAGGGUAAACGCUUUGGGUAAGGGUGAAAAGGCGGGGUAAGAGCCCACCGCGGUGGCAGCAAUGUUCACCGGCAGUACGCCUUGCGGGUUGCAAGACCGCAUAUACCGACAAUUAAGGGUUGCUCGCCCAAUGUCGGGGGGUAGGUUGCUAGAGGCUGCGAGUGAUCGCAGUCGUAGAUAAAUGAUAGAGGCCUCUCGCAAGGGAGGUACAGAACUCGGCUUAUAGUAUUUGCAAUGAC
rnacentral:RNase_P_RNA from 1 species